rnacentral:rRNA from 1 species
AGGAUGAACGCUGGCGGUCUGCUUAACACAUGCAAGUCGAACGGAGUACCUCGGUACUUAGUGGCGGACGGGUGAGUAACGCGUGAGAAUCUGCCCUUAGGUCGGGGACAACCAUUGGAAACGAUGGCUAAUACCGGAUAAGCCGAGAGGUAAAAGAUUAAUUGCCUAGGGAAGAGCUCGCGUCUGAUUAGCUAGUUGGUGAGGUAAAGGCUCACCAAGGCAUCGAUCAGUAGCUGGUCUGAGAGGAUGAUCAGCCACACUGGGACUGAGACACGGCCCAGACUCCUACGGGAGGCAGCAGUGGGGAAUUUUCCGCAAUGGGCGAAAGCCUGACGGAGCAAGACCGCGUGAGGGAGGAAGGCUCUUGGGUUGUAAACCUCUUUUCUUGGGGAAGAACAAAAUGACGGUACCCAAGGAAUCAGCAUCGGCUAACUCCGCGCCAGCAGCCGC